rnacentral:rRNA from 1 species
AUUGAACGCUGGCGGCAUGCCUUACACAUGCAAGUCGAACGGCAGCACGGGUGCUUGCACCUGGUGGCGAGUGGCGAACGGGUGAGUAAUGCAUCGGAACGUACCCGGAAGUGGGGGAUAACGUAGCGAAAGUUACGCUAAUACCGCAUAUUCUGUGAGCAGGAAAGAGGGGGAUCGCAAGACCUCUCGCUUUCGGAGCGGCCGAUGUCGGAUUAGCUAGUUGGCGGGGUAAAGGCCCACCAAGGCAACGAUCCGUAGCGGGUCUGAGAGGAUGAUCCGCCACACUGGGACUGAGACACGGCCCAGACUCCUACGGGAGGCAGCAGUGGGGAAUUUUGGACAAUGGGGGCAACCCUGAUCCAGCCACGCCGCGUGAGUGAAGAAGGCCUUCGGGUUGUAAAGCUCUUUCGGCUGGGAAGAAAUCGCAUCUCCUAAUACGGGGUGUGGAUGACGGUACCAGCAUAAGAAGCACCGGCUAACUACGUGCCAGCAGCCGCCGUAACAC